rnacentral:rRNA from 1 species
CAAGUCGAGCGAACGGACGAGAAGCUUGCUUCUCUGAUGUUAGCGGCGGACGGGUGAGUAACACGUGGAUAACCUACCUAUAAGACUGGGAUAACUUCGGGAAACCGGAGCUAAUACCGGAUGAUAUUUUGAACCGCAUGGUUCAAAAGUGAAAGACGGUCUUGCUGUCACUUAUAGAUGGAUCCGCGCUGCAUUAGCUAGUUGGUAAGGUAACGGCUUACCAAGGCAACGAUGCAUAGCCGACCUGAGAGGGUGAUCGGCCACACUGGAACUGAGACACGGUCCAGACUCCUACGGGAGGCAGCAGUAGGGAAUCUUCCGCAAUGGGCGAAAGCCUGACGGAGCAACGCCGCGUGAGUGAUGAAGGUCUUCGGAUCGUAAAACUCUGUUAUUAGGGAAGAACAUAUGUGUAAGUAACUGUGCACAUCUUGACGGUACCUAAUCAGAAAGCCACGGCUAACUACGUGCCAGCAGCCGCGGUAAUACGUAGGUGGCAAGCGUUAUCCGGAAUUAUUGGGCGUAAAGCGCGCGUAGGCGGUUUUUUAAGUCUGAUGUGAAAGCCCACGGCUCAACCGUGGAGGGUCAUUGGAAACUGGAAAACUUGAGUGCAGAAGAGGAAAGUGGAAUUCCAUGUGUAGCGGUGAAAUGCGCAGAGAUAUGGAGGAACACCAGUGGCGAAGGCGACUUUCUGGUCUGUAACUGACGCUGAUGUGCGGAA